CUAGCGCCCGGCUGUUGUGAAACAACAGGAUCACACAGUGAUAUUAAGUCCUAGUGGAAAGGCGGCAAGCGAAAAUACCGAAGUUUUCAAAUUCGUUUUAUAGAGUAAUCUCUAAGGAGAAGAACAGCAGCUGUGUCUUUGGGAUGAAUCAUCAGAUGACCUCAAACAAAGAGCGUCCCAGCUGCACCCCGACACCGUGCGCACGGGGCAAACGGCCAAUGCAUCAAAGCACUCUGACUCUUGGCGAUCAGACCCAAUCCAUUUACUCUACUACACACGCAGAGAGUUUUUCUGGGAGAGGCCUCGAUGGUCAAGCGCUGGUCUUUCUGCCCCGACAUCCAUGUUAUCCCUCUCAGCAUGAUGGAAAGCUGGAGCUCAGUCACAUCCGUGUGUCACGAGGAGGACAGACACACUCCAGAGAUGUACACGGCCCGAAGGACAUCAAACCACAUUACAUCCUGCAUGGAGUGGGGUUACAGAACAGGACACAGAACAGUGAGGGGUUUGUGAUGAAAGAGGUCACCAACCCCGCUGAGGCCACACUGUACAAGACAACAUAUCAAACAGUGCACUGCACCACCUCCAAAAGAUAUCAAACAAAUGAGGCACGCGGACAGCCAGUCCCCUGGCACAGCCAUAAUAUUAUCACAGGAGAGGAGAAGGCAGCAGCUGGGCCCAGGCAGGUCAGAAGACAGUCUGGGGAGAGCAUUCUGUGGGCAGCUCGGCACUGGGAGAUGCACAGCGACUCUUUUCAUUUGUACUAA
ensembl:lncRNA